CUGAGCUGAAGUCAGAUGCUUAGCCAACUGUGCCAUCCAGGCAUCCCUACUCUCCCCUUUCCAAGAUCCUUAACUUAAUCACAUCUACAAGGUCCCUACUGCCAUACAAGAAUUUUUGGGGUCCAAAUUCUACACUCCUGAUUUAAGAUCUCCAAGUUUAAGACUCGUCUUUAUGGUUUCCAUGAGCAUAGAUGGAUGAUGCAUCUAAAUCUGUAAAGCCAAAGCCAUUUACUGAACACUGCUUUCAUGCUACACGCUCUGUUUACAUUACCUGGAAACUUGACAGUUGUCAGUGGGGCUUUAUGUUCCCCAUUUGCUUCCGGCUAUUAAAAUGUUACACAAAACACCAGGCUAAAAAAGACAGAUUUCCAAGGAGCUGAGCUGUAAAUUCUUGACAUAUUAUUUGAUGAAGAGACACACUGGACGGCUGAUACUCUCAUGACCAACAUGUUCGCAUGGAGUUACACUGGAGGACUUUCAAUCCCCCCUGCAAGUUCACUCUUUCCUGGUCACUCAU